rnacentral:misc_RNA from 1 species
AAUUCUCAACUUCAAAAGCUUUGUCUUUCUGAAGCUUGGAUGUGAAGGCUUGCUGGCAUUUUAAAUGCUUCAGCUCCUUUGAAAUGCAUUAGUGGACCCGUUUGUGUUCAACUUUUAGUGUGAUAAUUAUCUACGCUAUGGGUUUGAAUGCAUGCUCCUUAGAACUUUUGAGCUGUAGUAUUACAGUCUCAGUGUGGAGAGUUGCAUUAACUUGCUCUUUCUAUAUCUAUUGAGUUUGGUUUGUCUGCUUCUAACCGUCUACGUUAGUGGACAACUUGAACC